GAAAAUUUGCUUCUUUUAUGGUGAGGAAAGUAAAUACAAUUGUAGAAAAUGGGAUUAGUUGGUUGAAAGGGUGCUUAUGAUUUAUUUUUUUCAUGGAAAUAUUGCCCCAUAAAACAUUCUCCUAUUUCUAGGUUGCCUAUGUAAAUUGUUCAAAGUAGAGUGUUUUCUUGCUCAAAAGAAAAAACCAAUUUGUUUACAGGGAACAUGGCCAACUCUUAUUCAAAACAAACUGAAUUCUGUUCAUGUUAUUGUGUGCAGAACAUAAAAUAAACUCAAUUGAAUGUGCUGUUAUUUGUAGAUUCUGAAUUAAUUUUAUUAAGACUUUUAUAUUUAAGGGAAAAUUACUCUUUAGUCACUGUAUGUAUUUUAAAAAAAAUACUAUUUAGUCCA
rnacentral:misc_RNA from 1 species